rnacentral:rRNA from 1 species
AACCUUCGGGGAACGAUAACGGCGUCGAGCGGCGGACGGGUGAGUAAUGCCUAGGAAAUUGCCCUGAUGUGGGGGAUAACCAUUGGAAACGAUGGCUAAUACCGCAUGAUGCCUACGGGCCAAAGAGGGGGACCUUCGGGCCUCUCGCGUCAGGAUAUGCCUAGGUGGGAUUAGCUAGUUGGUGAGGUAAGGGCUCACCAAGGCGACGAUCCCUAGCUGGUCUGAGAGGAUGAUCAGCCACACUGGAACUGAGACACGGUCCAGACUCCUACGGGAGGCAGCAGUGGGGAAUAUUGCACAAUGGGCGCAAGCCUGAUGCAGCCAUGCCGCGUGUGUGAAGAAGGCCUUCGGGUUGUAAAGCACUUUCAGUCGUGAGGAAGGUGGUGUAGUUAAUAGCUGCAUUAUUUGACGUUAGCGACAGAAGAAGCACCGGCUAACUCCGUGCCAGCAGCCGCGGUAAUACGGAGGGUGCGAGCGUUAAUCGGAAUUACUGGGCGUAAAGCGCAUGCAGGUGGUUUGUUAAGUCAGAUGUGAAAGCCCGGGGCUCAACCUCGGAAUAGCAUUUGAAACUGGCAGACUAGAGUACUGUAGAGGGGGGUAGAAUUUCAGGUGUAGCGGUGAAAUGCGUAGAGAUCUGAAGGAAUACCGGUGGCGAAGGCGGCCCCCUGGACAGAUACUGACACUCAGAUGCGAAAGCGUGGGGAGCAAACAGGAUUAGAUACCCUGGUAGUCCACGCCGUAAACGAUGUCUACUUGGAGGUUGUGGCCUUGAGCCGUGGCUUUCGGAGCUAACGCGUUAAGUAGACCGCCUGGGGAGUACGGUCGCAAGAUUAAAACUCAAAUGAAUUGACGGGGGCCCGCACAAGCGGUGGAGCAUGUGGUUUAAUUCGAUGCAACGCGAAGAACCUUACCUACUCUUGACAUCCAGAGAACUUUCCAGAGAUGGAUUGGUGCCUUCGGGAACUCUGAGACAGGUGCUGCAUGGCUGUCGUCAGCUCGUGUUGUGAAAUGUUGGGUUAAGUCCCGCAACGAGCGCAACCCUUAUCCUUGUUUGCCAGCGAGUAAUGUCGGGAACUCCAGGGAGACUGCCGGUGAUAAACCGGAGGAAGGUGGGGACGACGUCAAGUCAUCAUGGCCCUUACGAGUAGGGCUACACACGUGCUACAAUGGCGCAUACAGAGGGCGGCCAACUUGCGAAAGUGAGCGAAUCCCAAAAAGUGCGUCGUAGUCCGGAUUGGAGUCUGCAACUCGACUCCAUGAAGUCGGAAUCGCUAGUAAUCGUGGAUCAGAAUGCCACGGUGAAUACGUUCCCGGGCCUUGUACACACCGCCCGUCACACCAUGGGAGUGGGCUGCAAAAGAAGUAGGUAGUU